CCUACGGGCGGCAGCAGUAGGGAAUAUUGCUCAAUGGGGGAAACCCUGAAGCAGCAACGCCGCGUGGAGGAUGAAGGUUUUCGGAUUGUAAACUCCUUUUUUUAGAGAAGAUAAUGACGGCUUCUAACGAAUAAGCACCGGCUACCUCCGUGCCAGCAGCCGCUGCAAUACGGAGGGGGGCAGCGUUACUCGGCAUCAUUGGGGGUAAAGCGGGCGUAGGCGGGAUAGCAAGUGAGAUGUGAAAUCCUAUGGCUUAACCAUCGGACUGCAUUUGAAACUGGUAUCCUAGAGUAGGGGAGAGGAAGGUGGAAUUCUUGGUGUAGGGGUGAAAUGCGUAGAGAUCAAGAAGAAUACCCAUUGCGAAGGCGGCAUGCUGGAGCCAAACUGACGCUGAGGCGCGAAAGCGUGGGGAGCGAACAGGAUUAGAUACCCUGGUAGUC
rnacentral:rRNA from 1 species